rnacentral:piRNA from 1 species
CCUCCAACUCACAGCCUCUUUACAGCAGCC